GAUGAAGAACGUAGCGAAAUGCGAUAAGUAAUGUGAAUUGCAGAAUUCAGUGAAUCAUCGAAUCUUUGAACGCACAUUGCGCCCCUCGGUAUUCCGAGGGGCAUGCCUGUUCGAGCGUCAUUAUAACCCUUCAAGCUCAGCUUGGUGUUGGGGCCUGCUGUAACUGGUAGCCCUUAAAAUCAGUAGCAGUGCUAUUAGGCUCUAAGCGUAGUAAUUCUUCUCGCUAUAGUGUGUAGUGAGCGCUUGCCAGAACCCCAAACUUUUAUAUGAUUGACCUCGGAUCAGGUAGGGAUACCCGCUGAACUUAAGCAUAUCAAUAAGCGGAGGA
rnacentral:misc_RNA from 1 species